GUUAAACGGCCGCGGUAUUUUGACCGUGCAAAGGUAGCGCAAUCACUUGUCUUUUAAAUGAAGACCUGUAUGAAUGGUAGAACGAGGGCUUGACUGUCUCCCCCCUCAAGUCAAUGAAAUUGAUCUGUCCGUGCAGAAGCGGACAUACACAUACAAGACGAGAAGACCCUUUGGAGCUUAAGACACAAGAUCAACUAUGUCAAUACCCCAAAAAUUAAGUUAAACUAAAUAGCACAUGAUCCCUAUCUUCGGUUGGGGCGACCACGGAAGAAAACAAAGCUUCCACGCGGACUGGGGCUUCUAAGCCCUAAAACCAAGAAAGACACUUCUAAGCAACAGAACAUCUGACCUACAAGAUCCGGCAAAUUCGCCGAUCAACGGACCAAGUUACCCUAGGGAUAACAGCGCAAUCCCCUUUAAGAGUCCAUAUCGACAAGGGGGUUUACGACCUCGAUGUUGGAUCAGGACAUCCUAAUGGUGCAGCCGCUAUUAAGGGUUCGUUUGUUCAACGAUUAAAGUCCU
rnacentral:rRNA from 1 species